rnacentral:rRNA from 1 species
GACGAACGCUGGCGGCGUGCUUAACACAUGCAAGUCGAACGGAAAGGCCCUGCUUUUGUGGGGUGCUCGAGUGGCGAACGGGUGAGUAACACGUGAGUAACCUGCCCUUGACUUUGGGAUAACUUCAGGAAACUGGGGCUAAUACCGGAUAGGAGCUCCUGCUGCAUGGUGGGGGUUGGAAAGUUUCGGCGGUUGGGGAUGGACUCGCGGCUUAUCAGCUUGUUGGUGGGGUAGUGGCUUACCAAGGCUUUGACGGGUAGCCGGCCUGAGAGGGUGACCGGCCACAUUGGGACUGAGAUACGGCCCAGACUCCUACGGGAGGCAGCAGUGGGGAAUACUGCACAAUGGGCGGAAGCCUGAUGCAGCAACGCCGCGUGCGGGAUGACGGCCUUCGGGUUGUAAACCGCUUUCGCCUGUGACGAAGCGUGAGUGACGGUAAUGGGGAAAGAAGCACCGGCUAACUACGU